UGGAGCAUGUGGUUUAAUUCGAUGCAACGCGAAGAACCUUACCUGGGCUUGACAUCCACGGAACCUGCUGGAAACAGUGGGUGCCUUUCGGGGAGCCGUGAGACAGGUGCUGCAUGGCUGUCGUCAGCUCGUGUCGUGAGAUGUUGGGUUAAGUCCCGCAACGAGCGCAACCCUUGUCUUUAAUUGCCAUCAUUCAGUUGGGCACUUUAAAGAGACUGUCGGUGUUAAACCGGAGGAAGGUGGGGAUGACGUCAAGUCCUCAUGGCCUUUAUGCCCAGGGCUACACACGUGCUACAAUGGUUGGUACAACGAGUUGCGAGUCGGUGACGGCGAGCUAAUCUCUUAAAGCCAAUCUCAGUUCGGAUUGUAGGCUGCAACUCGCCUACAUGAAGUCGGAAUCGCUAGUAAUCGCGGAUCGGCACGCCGCGGUGAAUACGUUCCCGGGCCUU
rnacentral:rRNA from 1 species